rnacentral:rRNA from 1 species
AUGAAGAGGAAGCCACUCUUGCUAUGUCCAAAGCAAUGCAAAAUUGAAAACGGCAAGUACAAUAGUCAGGAGCCAAGUCCCAUUGAGUUUUUCAAAGAGACCCAUACUAACAGCAUGAGCGAGCCGACACAUCUAGCUUAUAUUAAACCUGAGAAGGCUCGAAAUUGGUUUAGUUUUACUGUCCUAAAUAAAACACCGGACACCAAGUUCUGGCUUUUCGAUUUGUGCAACACAUUAAGCGACGUCAAGUUUGUUGAGAUCCUUGUUACGUUGUGGUCCAUCUGGUAUGCACGACGCCGGGCCAUUCACGAGAAUAAAUUCCAAAGUCCCCUAUCAACGCAUCUCUUCAUCAACAGGCUUACAAUCUCAUCAAGACUAAAACCUGAGCGCAACCAGACAGUUGCACAUGGAGAAGAACGCCCCAACUGGGCAAGUCUAUGGCAAACAAUGUUUCGAUCACGAGAUAUAGCAACAAUUUUAAGCUCUCUGUCUCCUUGGAGUAAAAGCUUGAUUUCAACGAUCAAAGCCGCCACAGUUGAUCUAUUAGAAAAGCUUCAAGUUUCUUCUGACCGUCUGGGAGUCAAGGAGAUCGAGUCGGCAAAUAAUUUUGGAGUUCACUCCGGAUCCCCUGACCUACGGCCACCUGACGUUGGGCCACUGACGCGUGGGUCCGGGUCCACACGUCAGCGAGUGCGCCGUACGUCAGAGGAGCUGCGUCCCCAUCUCACAUCUGCUCCAUGGCCGCCGCCCUCCUCAAACUUCCUGGCCGGCGCCGCCGCCCUAAAUCGUUCCGGCGCCGCUCGCCCUCCACUCUCCCGACCUCCACUACUGGUCGUCUCUCACCUCCACCACCGCCGCCCGGCUCCGACCCUUGCUGCAUCCGCAUCCCACCUUCGUCGGACCACUCCGCCCAACACGGCUUCCCUGGACGCGAUGAUUGUACCCCGUGCUCCCUGCUCCAGAUCUGGCAGCGGCCUCCUCCUCUCCGUUUUGUCCAAGCCAGUUGAUCCAUUUUUCUGUGAAUCUAGAUCUGAGGGCAUCCGGAUCUUGAUUUCCUUCUUUUGCUGGCUCAUUGGUGAAAAGAGUAGGCUUCUCCCGACCUCUCCAAUCGCCGCCGCCAGCGCCAUCACGCACGAGAGCACGCGUGCACGCGACCCGCGCCUCCUGCCGCCUUCCGCCGGUCCCGGCCGCUGCCGCCGCGAGCCCGCCGACCACCACCAUGCCUCCUCCUUUCCUCUCCUCUCUCUCUCUUCCUUCUCUCCCGUCUCAAGGCCGCGUGCCCCUACGGGUCACGGCCAUGGCCGCCGCCUGAGCACAAGCUCCAGCCGGCCGCCGCACCUGGCUGCGCCAUCCGCCGUCCCUGCGGUGGGUGGCGGCGGCGGCGGCAGGGCAGUGGGUGCUGGCGGCGCCUCGUCCCAGCUGAGGCAGCUCUCUUUUUUGAGUCGCUCGACUCAUAUAUGUCGACUAGUCCAGACUAGUCGUCGACUAGUCCAUCCACGGCUCGACUCGUUUUGUUUCUCAUCUUUAGAAGUCUUUGUAGUGGAAGGAAGGGCAAGGCAAAACCUGUCUCAGUCUCUCCUCAUAUGCACAACGCCACUAAUCCAUUCCUCUAAUCUUCUCCUGAACACAUAUUUGGUCGCAGGGAACACCGAGUUAUCCUCUGUUAGCUUGGAGGAUGGUGCUAUGGGCGACCACGUCGGCAAUGGCAACAGCGAAGGCAACAAUGAUGUUGAGAACAUGGUGGUAGCCUAA